rnacentral:rRNA from 1 species
GAAAGCCUGACGGAGCAAUACCGCGUGAGGGAUGAAGGCCUUUGGGUUGUAAACCUCUUUUAUCAAGGAGGAAGUUCUGACGUGUACUUGAUGAAUAAGCAUCGGCUAACUCCGUGCCAGCAGCCGCGGUAAGACGGAGGAUGCAAGUGUUAUCCGGAAUCACUGGGCGUAAAGCGUCUGUAGGUGGUUUAAAAAGUCCACUGUUAAAGAUUGAAGCUUAACUUCAAAAAUGCCGUGGAAACUUUUAAACUUGAGUAUGAUAGGGGUAGAGGGAAUUUCCAGUGGAGCGGUGAAGUGCGUAGAUAUUGGAAAGACCACCAAUGGCGAAGGCACUCUACUGGGCCAUUACUGACACUGAGAGACGAAAGCUAG